GUGGGGAAUAUUGCACAAGUCGGGGGAAAACCCUGAUGCAGCGACGCCGCGUGAAGGAAGAAGUAUUUCGGUAUGUAAACUUCUAUCAGCAGGGAAGAAAUGACGGUACCUGACUAAGAAGCCCCGGCUAACUACGUGCC
rnacentral:rRNA from 1 species